GACGCCGGCGGCNCCCUAGGCAUGCCAGUCGAACGAUCCGUUGUAAUGCGGAUAGUGGCAAAAGGGUGAGUAACACGUGAGUAAUCUGCCUUCUAGUUCAGAAUAACUUUGCGAAAGCGAGGCUAAUACUGGGAUGAGACCACGAUUUCUACUGGAAUUGUGGCCAAAGCUGGGGACCCCAACAGGGCCUGGCACUAAAAGAGGAGCUCGCGUCCUAUCAGCUUGUUGGUAAGGUAAUGGCUUACCAAGGCGAAGACGGGUAGCUGGUCUGAGAGGAUGGUCAGCCACACUGGGACUGAGACACUGCCCAGACUCCUACGGGAGGCUGCAGUCGAGAAUCUUUUGCAAUGCGCGAAAGCGAGACAAUGCGACGCCGCGUGAGCGAUGAAGCCCUUCGGGGUGUAAAGCUCUGUCANCCCGGAUGAAUUCUAUUUUUUAAUANAAAAUGGANAUACANUACGGGCANAAGAANCCCCGCUAACUCCUNCCACCACCGCGGUUUACNGAGGUGCAANCUUUNUCCGAUCUUUGGUNUAAGGNUUUUANGUUCCUAUAAUCAAUUNAAUCCUUGCUUACCAGACUCUUCA
rnacentral:rRNA from 1 species